AAGAUAUCAUAAAAUGAUAUUGAAUUUUAACGUUACAUUUUUUUCAAUAUUGUAACGUGUGAGUUUAAAUUAAUUCCUAACUAAAUCAAAAUUUAAAGUAGAUUAAAGUAGGCUAUAAGAACACUUUAGAAGAUCAUGCAGAACAUGUUCGAAGUGGAUAAGCGAUAAAAUGGCUGAAAAUACACGGGAAAACAAACGGUGGAUGGACGGUGUGUAACAACUGUCUAAUAAAUCUAAAUCCGUCCGUGGAAGACUUUCCCCAUUACAAAGGAGGAAGAACCAUCGACCAUGGCAGUCGACGAAGAAGUCGUGACGGUUUUCGGAAAUAGCGAGGUUCAAUAAUAACCCUGAUGCAGGAGGUGAACCCGUACCGAGAACCAUGCAGGAGGCGAGAGAACUGGAAUAAAUUUAACGCGUUACGUCGUGCAUGGAAAUAAUUAUUGGUUCUACUAUUAAUAUAUGAUACGAUUUUUAAUAAAUCAUUAUUCGAAGUUAUCUAAUUCCUUUGCAAUAAAUUAUUAGACAACGAUACAAUCAAAAAUUAGUAUUAUUUUUAAAUGAAUUAACAUAGAAUUUCAUCCAUUUGGAUGCCAACACUUAGAUGAUACUUCUUAAAUAUUUUUGAUCUCUUUAAAAUUACUUUCUGCAUCUUAAUACUAAUGAUUCUAUGAUUUUCAGGAUUCCUCAAUUUGCGUGAUCAUACAAUAGUUUUCCAAAAAAAAAAAAAGAAAAAAGAAACUAUUACAAGGAACUUUUAAUAAUCAUUUCCACUGGAAGAAAUUUUUGUCCUCAAGAGACAUAAUGGACGUAAUAAAAGGACAUAAAGUCUUUCAAAAAUUGUUCAUUGCUAAAACUUUAGAUUCACAGAAAAAUUCAUCAUGCAAAAAUUUAUCAAGAUUAUAAGUAUUAGAAAUUAAAUAAACCACAAUACUCAAUCAAUAAUUAUUCAAUCCUCUUAAUCAUUAAUUUGAUGCUAAUAUAGCUUUCAUCUUUCAGAUAUCGUGUGCCGAUAUAUAAUACAUUCAGCUUCGAAUCAGACGUUUUCACGCAGGUACACCCAGUAUAGAUGUCUGUAGGUGCCUGCAAGUUGAAACCUGCACGACCGGCAAGGUCGAGGAACCUAACGCAACCAGCCACCGCCGGCGCGAUAUAAACACCACCGAGAAUGGAAGAGACAGACCUACCUCUUCAGUUUCGAGAUUGCGAAAAAAAAAAAAAGGAAGAACACAAAGAAAUAAGAACCAACCACGCCAUAAUACCGGGAAAAAUACACUUACACUAGUCGUGAUCGAGACUUCAUUUCACUCCGGUCUUCUACUUUAUAGCCUUUGUUCAUUUGUCUACGACUUUUCGUCCUAAAAUGGAAAAUCUUUCUCUGUAUAUGAGAUAUGAUUGGAUACUUACACAGUUUUAUAUAUAAAUUCAAAUUUUUGAGAUUUAAUAUGAUUUGUGAACUGAAAAUAGAUUAGACAUGCAUUAAAAUUUUGGAAUAUACAAUAAUUAAAUUUAUUAAAGAAAAAAAUUAU